rnacentral:rRNA from 1 species
AAACUCAAAUGAAUUGACGGGGGCCCGCACAAGCGGUGGAGCAUGUGGUUUAAUUCGAUGCAACGCGAAGAGCCUUACCUACUCUUGACAUCCACAGAACUUUCCAGAGAUGGAUUGGUGCCUUCGGGAACUGUGAGACAGGUGCUGCAUGGCUGUUGUCAGCUCGUGUUGUGAAAUGUUGGGUUAAGUCCCGCAACGAGCGCAACCCUUAUCCUUCGUUGCCAGCGCGUAAUGGCGGGAACUCAAAGGAGACUGCCGGUGAUAAACCGGAGGAAGGUGGGGAUGACGUCAAGUCAUCAUGGCCCUUACGAGUAGGGCUACACACGUGCUACAAUGGCAUAUACAAAGAGAAGCGAACUCGCGAGAGCAAGCGGACCUCAUAAAGUAUGUCGUAGUCCGGAUCGGAGUCUGCAACUCGACUCCGUGAAGUCGGAAUCGCUAGUAAUCGUAGAUCAGAAUGCUACGGUGAAUACGUUCCCGGGCCUUGUACACACCGCCCGUCACACCAUGGGAGUGGGUUGCAAAAGAAGUAGGUAGCUUAACCUUCGGGAGGGCGCUUACCACUUUGUGAUUCAUGACUGGGGUG